rnacentral:rRNA from 1 species
CUACGGGGCGCAGCAGUAGGGAAUCUUAGACAAUGGGGGAAACCCUGAUCUAGCCAUGCCGCGUGAGUGAUGAAGGCCUUAGGGUUGUAAAGCUCUUUCGCUGGGGAAGAUAAUGACGGUACCCAGUAAAGAAACCCCGGCUAACUCCGUGCCAGCAGCCGCGGUAAUACGGAGGGGGUUAGCGUUGUUCGGAAUUACUGGGCGUAAAGCGCGCGUAGGCGGGCUAUUAAGUCAGGGGUGAACUCCCGGGGCUCAACCCCGGAACUGCCUUUGAUACUGGUAGUCUUGAGUUCGAGAGAGGUGAGUGGAAUUCCGAGUGUAGAGGUGAAAUUCGUAGAUAUUCGGAGGAACAUCAGUGGCGAAGGCGACUCACUGGCUCGAUACUGACGCUGAGGUGCGAAAGUGUGGGGAGCAAACAGGAUUAGAUACCCGGGUAGUC